CGGGACGGGUGAGUAAUGUCUGGAAACUGCUGAUGGAGGGGGAUAACUACUGGAAACGGUAGCUAAUACCGCAUAACGUCGCAAGACCAAAGAGGGGGACCUUCGGGCCUCUUGCCAUCGGAUGUGCCCAGAUGGGAUUAGCUAGUAGGUGGGGUAACGGCUCACCUAGGCGACGAUCCCUAGCUGGUCUGAGAGGAUGACCAGCCACACUGGAACUGAGACACGGUCCAG
rnacentral:rRNA from 1 species